AUUGAACGCUGGCGGCAUGCCUAACACAUGCAAGUCGAACGGACAGACGCGUUGCUUGCUCGUCUGGCGGUAGCGGGGGGCGGAUGAGUAACAAGUGGGUAACCUCCCUGUGAGACUGGGGUAAAUACCGGAAAUAGGAGCUCAUACCAGCUAAUAUAUUGAACCGCGUGGUUCAAUAGUGUGAGAGGGUUUUGCGGUCGCUUAUAGAUUGAUCGGCGUGGGAUUAGCUAGUUGGUCAGGUAACGGCUUACCAAGGCGACGAUGCGUAGCCGACCUGAGAGGGUGAUCGGCCACACUGGAACUGAGACACGGUCCAGACUCCUACGGGAGGCAGCAGUAGGGAAUCUUCCGCAAUGGGCGAAAGCCUGAUGGAGCAACGCCGCGUGAAGGAUGAAGGUCUUCGGAUCGUAAAACGCUGUUGUUAGGGAAGAACAAAUGUGUAUUAAACUAGGCACGUCAUGACGGUACCUAAAGAAAAAGCCACGGCUAACUACGUG
rnacentral:rRNA from 1 species